CGUAAACCGUAGAAGAGAAUAGUAACCAUAGCAUAAUGUUAAAGAGAGUCAGCAUUUGGUGAGAGCUGAUACAUUAUAUAUUGUGAAUCCACCUCUGAGGGACUGUGAUGAGCAGUACGGCAAUGUCGUUAAUUAAUUAAGAGGAAUAAGUGAUUUACUUAUUCAAUUAGGGUGGUAACGCGGAGUCUUUCGUCCCUUUG
rnacentral:ncRNA from 1 species